rnacentral:lncRNA from 1 species
UUUUUUUUUUUUUUUUUGGUAUUUUCAGCUUUGUUUGGAAAGUGGAAAAUCCUCGCAAGUGAUUUGGUGCCUUUUGUUCCCUUGCAUUUUGGUAAAUAAAUUUCUUGCCAUUCUUUUUAAUUUAUUUUUUUGCACCACGAACAUGUAUCCUGAUCAGUAUUUUUUUUUUUUGUAAAUUUCAGCUUUGGUCCGAAAAUAGAAAAGGUUUUCCAGUCAAAUUUCUGUUCAUUCCAGGUUAGUUUACCUUUGAUUUGUAUCAUUAAUUUGCUGAAAUUUUUGUUAAUAUUAUAUGGGCUGAUAUUUUAAAUAUUUUAAUAUCAGUGUCAUGUGCCUAUAUGUUUGGCUAUUUACUCUUAUGAUAAGUUUUUGCUUAUGCUUCUUAAGAAGAUAUAGCCGCGCUUUACUGCUUUAAUGUGGUAUUUUAAGGCAUCGAAAUAUUAAUAAAGUAUAUUUUAAAAAACAUUCUUAUUGGCCAAAAAAUUAGUGAUUUUCCCCCCAAUUUAUGCUUGCCCUUCUGAUUUACCUUCUGUGUACACUAUCUCAUCUCCCAACUAUGCAAUUCUCUUUUUUUUCCUAGAAAAAGGAGAGAAUCAAAGAGGGGAAAGCACUAUACAUCUCCCCCCCCCACCCCUAUUUGCCUUCAUAGCCAAAAACACAAAGAAAUACUCACACUUUCGCAUCAAUUUUCAGCCAUUUGAUGAAUUUAUUGUUAAGUUUUUCUGGCCUUUUUUUUCCCAAAAUUGACCUCCUAGCAGAAAUGCUUGCUUUGGUUAUUAUUGAUUGUUUUGUAAGUUUGAAAGAAUCAAGAAGAAGCACAACAAAGUAAACAUCCAGUGUUUAAGGUGUGUGAUAAUUUUUUUCAAUAGUAACAUGCUUUGUGUUUGAUGAUUUGCUUCUAAAGGUAGAUUUACCACUAAACUGAUUUAGUUUUCUGAAAAUUUACGUGUCCCAUUGUUAUGGAGUAUUAGAUGAUUUGAGAGAUGUUCUUUAGCUUACUGUUUGGUCCUAAUAAAAAAUGAUUUUACUUUUGCCUUUGUGUUCGUAUGCUGAAUGAUCCUUUAAUGUCUUGCAAUGGCUCGAACUAUCUUUAAAUUCCAUUGGAAACAAUACUUUGAUAGACCUAGAAACAUUAAUUUCAUCGAUUGUUUUUGACUUUUACUGCAUUGUCAUGUUAUUGACUAUCAUAGUUAGGACCAAAGACCAGUAAAAGAGUAUUUCCCCAGCUUCUACUGUCUUGGUUCUAAUUUUCCACAUGUUUUGGGGCUCAACAAGUAGAAUCUGCACUCACGAUUUAUUUGAUAUAAUUUGGUUUCCGCUUAAAUUUUGGUUUUAGAAACUAGUCAUGCACUAAUUAAUUCCCGGCACAGAUAAGCACUUCUGAGUUCCAUACCUUGGUUCAUUGAAAGGGGAUUGUUCAAUGGACGGAUCCUAACUUGGGGGGACAAAGACUUUUAACAUACCUCAGUCUUCAAUUAUUUUGCAGCUUCCUUGUUAUAUUAGUUUCUCUGGUUUUGCACAUGGACAUAGACAUUGCUUUAAUUACCCUACUGCUAUAAUAGUUUGCACAUGGACAUGGUUUCUCAACAUGAUGACAAUUAAGAUCUUUCAUGUUCUAUUAAUUUUAAAAAUGAGAGUUAUAGGGAAUUUUUCAAUAUUUUUUACACAACAAAUUGGGCAUUGUCAGAAAAUUUCUAGUAAAAAAAUAAACAACUCAAAAUCCUACCCUCUUUAUGCUUCCAAAAAAAAAAAAAAAAAACCCUACCCUCUUCAUAUUUUCAUCGCGCUUUCCCAUUUCAUUUUCACCGCCACCGCUCGACUGCCUUUCUUACUAGACAACUCAAAAAGACAAAAACUAACCUUAUCAGCUUAGCAUUUUUUCUCCUACCUCUCUUGUAGUCUCUUACAUGAUUCCAUUUGCAACUUCUAUUCGCAGCGACGGGACUACAGGAGUCAAGUCCAAAAUCUAAGGCAUCUCAACCUUUGUCUCGGGUCUCUCCCAUCUCACCAUCUCUUCCUCUCGGCCUCUUGCAGCCAUCUCCUCUGAACAGGUAAGCUGAUUCCUAAUUUCAUAUGCCAAAUUGUGACCUCAAUUGAAUAAUAUUGAUGAAUUGCUGACCUAAUUUAUAUUUUUUUAAAAAUAUUACAGUAUAUGUAAUAUUUUUGGUGAAUCAGAUACGGAUGUGUUUGUGGUUCUUGGUUCUUGCCAUAAAUUGUUCUAAUGGUGAAAAUUUACUUAAUAUUGUCCUGAAUCUAAUCAAGUAAUUAUGGCCGUAAACUGAUAAAAUUUACCCUAACAUUGAUUUUGCCUCAAUUUAACAUUGCUUCAAUUGGAUUUUCAGAAAACUCUUGUUUUACAUUAGGUUUAAUUUUAGAAUGAGUAUCUAAAGUAAUUUGUCCUACUUUAUCAACUAACUCAUCUAAGUCUGAUUCAGUUGCAAAUUCAAUUUGACUCAUCAAUAUUUAAGAUAAGCUAUAUGUUCAUAUAAUAUUUUACUACUACGAUGCAUAGUCAAUAAAUCUUGUGUUCUAUCUUCUUUUAAUCUUAUUGAUCUUGGUCCCUAGCUUUUGAUGAUUACAAAACAAAUGGAUGUUGCUAACAUCUCCUCAAAGGCUUUUUCAGAAAUGAAUCAAAUCAGGUUCAAAGAUUAAGCACAUUUGAAAAAGACAGAGUAUGCUGAACCUGUCGGACGCUCAAAAAGACAGUACCGGACGUCCGAUAAUCAUUGCGCUACUUCAGACGCAGAAAACCAGCCUACCGGACGUCCGAAAGAAUUGAAGAAAAUCUCUUAAACUCACUGCUUGCUGUCGGACGCAUAAAACAGGGCUAUCGGACGUCCGACAUUCCAACGACUAGUUGACUCUUCAGCUACUUUCUAUCCGUUUGAAACAUUAAUGAGGCACUUUCUUGAUCCUAUAUAUAUAGUGGUUGGUCAAAUAUUUCAAACAACUUUUGCACACUGAAGAUACAAAAGAUCUAGAGUGAUUUUAGUGAGAAAAUACUCUUCAAAGAAGAUUUGUAGUCUUAGUGGUGUGAGAUUCAUUGUAAGCUUUUCAUUUGUGAGUGAAUACUUCAUGAGUGUAGCUCUGUGAGGGUUGUCCUGAGGGAUAGUAAAACGUCCUGACUUGACCGAGUGUAGUUCGGGGCAAGGAGGAGGUGAACCUUCCUUUGUACACGAGUGAUUGUAAUUCAUCAACUUGAAGUAGCUUGUUUCAAUUAAUCUACAAGCUCAAGAGGAGUUGGGUAGUUAAUUGGUUUGCAAUCCUUUCCUUUUUAUUUACUUACUAUUACAUUUGUGAUCUUUGCAUUGUUUAUGUCUUUCACUUGGUUGUUUUCGAUCCUUACAAUUGGUAUCAGAACUUGGUCUUCUAGAGAUUAAGCUCAAUCGGCUUGGGAGUAAAUAUAACAACCAAUAAUGCUAUGUUUUUUGAAGGACAUUCUGUCAUUAGACCACCUAUGUUUAAUGGGUCAAAUUAUGUGAGUUGGAAAGAAAGAAUUAUUAUUUUUUUGCAAUCUAUUGAUAUUGAAUAGUGGUUUAUUAUUAGUGAAGGUCCAUAUGAUGCCUCUCUUAUAGAUGAAAAUACUCAUAGAUCUAGAUCAAAAAUAAGAAAUGAACUGACUGCUAUACAUAGAACUCAUCUCAUUUUAAAUGCAAAAGCCAUGAAUGUGUUAUUUUGUACUUUAGACUCAAAUAAAUCUAUUAGAGUCAAGGGUUGCAAGUCAGCUAAAAAAAUUUGGGACAAAUUGAAAGAAAUUCAUGAAGGUAGUGAGAAUGUGAGAGAAUAAAAGAAGUCUAUUCUGGUUACCAAGUAUGAAUCGUUCAAGAUGAAACCUCAUGAAAACAUUGAUGAGAUGUACUGUAGAUUCAACGACCUCAUUAAGGACUUAGAGGUGUUGGAAAAAGAAUAUUCUCUAGGUGAGAAAAAUAGAAAAAUCCUGAAUGCCUUGUCCAAUGAUUGGAAAAAUAAAGUGGUUGCUAUUGAGGAGGCUAAAGAUUUGAAUACUAUGCCUAUUGAAUCUCUUAUUAAUUCUCUAAUUUCUUAUGAGCUGAAAUUUAAGUCCAAAAUGCAAGAGGAUGAGAAUGCGAAAGUAAGAAGGAGUAUUGCUCUAAAGGCAUCUCAAGAUGAAGAUGAUUCUGCCUCUCUAGAUGAAGAAGAUGCAGAAGGUGAUGACAAUGAUAUCGCACUCAUCACAAGAAACUUCAAACGAAUACUCAACAAGAGGAGAUUCAGAAAAGGUGGACCUAGCAAUUCACUUCCAAAUCAGUUCAACAAUCUGAGAAACAAAGGGAAGCUAGAGCUCAACAAAAAGCAAACUGAUAAGUGCUUUGAAUGCGGCCAACUUGGACACUACACAAGUGAGUGUCAAAUGAAGAAGAGGAACUGUGAAAGAAAACCAAGAUUCAACAACUUCCAGUUCACAUGGAAUGAAUGCAAGUCCGAUGGUGAAAUUGAAGAGAAAGAUGAAUCUGCUUAAUUGGAUUUCAUGGCCAUUGGAGAUGAUGAGGUAACAUUUUCUAACUCUCAAUUUGAAAGUGAUGAUGAAACUGAUGAUGAUCUUGAAUCUUUCAUUAUAAAAUUGCAUGAUAGUUUGAAAGAAUCCUAUGCUAGAAACAAGGAGUUAAAACAGAAAAUUAGUUUUUUGCUUCGAGAUAAUGCAAAUCUUUUUCAACAAAAUAAAAAGUUGAAAGUUGAAAAUGAUUACUUCAAAAAGAGUGAGACUGCUUUACACUUUGAGCUUGAUAGAAAAACAAAGCUUUGUGAAUUGUUCAAAAAGGAACAAGGUGAUUUGAAAAAAAGAAUGGAUGGUCUAAAUGAGUUGCUUAAACACAAGAAACAAGUCUGUUUUCAAAAGAAUAGGUUGAAUUCUAAUUCCAACGAAUUUGCUAUUUAUAAGAGAAAACAAGUAAGAUUUAUUAAACCUGUUCAUAUAAAUAACUCUUUGGUUAAGUGUAAUUUCUGUUGUCAAAAAGGUCACAUGAAAAGUGAUUGCUAUGUGAGAAAGAAUAUAAAAAAAGGCAUGAAAUUCAUGUGGAUAGUUAGACAUGAUACUAAUUCUAACAAGUAGGAGAUAUUGGUAAGAUUAAUGAGAUUCUUGUUCAUAAUACUUUUUUGUAAUUCUCUUUUGAUGUUUUGAACUGAGUUUUUAUUGAUUUUUUACUGUUUGUAUGAUGUCAAAAAGAGUGAAAAAAAAUAAUGUUGAUCUCAUGAUGAUUUGCUGUGAUUGCUGUCAUUUCUCUGUUUUUAUUUGGAUUAUUGGAUUCUCUGUUAUUGUUGCUGGUUUUUUGUAGCUGUUUUUUACUCUCAUCUUAUGAUGACAAAAAGGGGGAGAAAUGGAUGCUAUGUGUAAGGGGGAGUUAUUCUGAAAUUCAUAAGUUUAGAUGCAUUGUGUGAGGAGGAGCUUAUGCUUAUAUGCUCAAUUUUUUCUUUCUUCCAUCCAUUGUUUUGUCAUCACAAAAAAGGGGGAGAAUGUUGAUCUUGGUCCUUAGCUUUUGAUGAUUACAAAAUAAAUGAAUGUUGCUAACAUCUCCUCAAAGGCUUUUUCAGAAAUGAAUCAAAUCAGGUUCAAAGAUUAAGCACAUUUGAAAAAGACAGAGUAUGCUGAACCUGUCGGACGCUCAAGAAGACCGUACCGGACGUCCAAUAAUCAUUGCGCUACUUCGGACGCAGAAAACCAGCCUACCGGACGUCCGAAAGAAUUGAAGAAAAUCUCUUAAACUCACUGCUUGCUGUCGGACGCAUAAAACAGGGCUAUCGGACGUCCGACACUCUAACGACUAGUUGACUCUUCAACUACUUUCUAUCCGUUGGAAGCAUUAAUGAGGCACUUUCUUGAUCCUAUAUAUAUAGUGGUUGGUCAGAUAUUUCAAACAACUUUUGCACACUGAAGAUACAAAAGAUCUAGAGUGAUUUUAGUGAGACAAUACUCUUCAAAGAAGAUUUGUAGUCUUAGUGGUGUGAGAUUCAUUGUAAGCUUUUCAUUUGUGAGUGAAUACUUCAUGAGUGUAGCUCUGUGAGGGUUGUCCUGAGGGAUAGUAAAACGUCCUGGCUUGACUGAGUGGAGUUCGAGGCAAGGAGGAGGUGAACCUUCCUUUGUACACAAGAGUGAUUGUAAUUCAUCAAUUUGAAGUAGCUUGUUUCAAUUAAUCUACAAGCUCAAGAGGAGUUGGGUAGUUAAUUGGUUUGCAAUCCUUUCCUUUUUAUUUACUUACUGUUACAUUUGUGAUCUUUGCAUUGUUUAUGUCUUUCACUUGGUUGUUUUCGAUCCUUACAAAUCUGUUAUUUAAUAGUUCCAUCAUCAUUUCUAAUUCAGACUGUAUCUUUUUGCCGCAAUAGAUUAUGGUCUUUUGCAAUUUAGCAAUAUCUUUUUCAGUUUAAAAUAUCCUGGAACUAUCUAUUCGAAACUAUUCUCUUCCAUUUAGAAGAUGUAAUCUGCGAAAAUGUUCUGUCAAUUCAACAUGUAAAUCACAAAUGCGUUUCUUUUACAAAAUAAUAUCUAUAAUCAGACUAAUGAAGCAUUCUUCUUAUCAUUUCAAUAGUAAAUGGAUGACUAUAGUUUGAUAUUGGUUAAUCCAAUAAUCAACUAUAUGUUGAGUUUUGUGUAUUCCACUUUUAAACAGAUCAAUAUGUUUUUGUAAAAAUUCACAAUAAUCACAAUUCAUUCUAGAUAAGUCUAAUCUAUAUCAUCAACAAGGUUGUCAGUAUUAUCUAAUACAGCUUUAGGAGAGGAAGUAAAACUAUUUUGAUUAUCAGGUAGAGUAAAGAAUCUUUGUGGCUUUGAUACCCCACUCGGCUGUCAAGGACGGUUCAAAUCAGAAAAACUUCAAAUCAUGAUUGUUUAUAAAUGUUGAAGAAGCUAUCAUUAUUAUAAUCAUGUAUUUAUUCUAUUUCUCCCUUUUUUCCUUAAAGGAAAAGAGAUAAAAAUACAUGUAUAUAUGUAUAUAUACACAUUUGUGCAUAUACAUAUGUAUGUAAGAGUGUGUGUGUAUAUGCAUGUAUGCAUAUGUAUAUGUAUGUGCGUGUAUGUAGGACAGUGUCGUUCCUUAUGGUCGCCUUAUUAAGAUUUGCAUUUGUAGAUAUCUCCUCUGAUCGGGAGAAUUUUGUUGUCCAUUCUCAAGGACCAGGUGGUGUGGCAAGUAAAAAUAAAUAAAAAAUAAAUGAAGAAAAGCCAACAAAUCUUCCAAUGCUACUACUACUACUCCUAGGACAACGCAUAGAAAUCCUGCAUCAACCAAAAAAGACAGUCAAGUUGCCCUCUCUAUUUUCAUCGCCUUUCUCACAUUUCCUCAAUAGUUUUUCCUCUAUGGCACUUGAAAAUGGAGAAAAUUUCAAGGGUUUGGUCUAAGUUAAAAGAUUGGACUCCAAAAACCUAAGUGAUACGUGUUGAAGUUUGCAAUAUUAUAUGCUAAUAAGUUUAAUUUAAAAUUUUCUAUAAAUUUAGCCUUGGAAUGUAUAGCAAAAUAUGGUUCUACUCCAAUGCAAUAAGUUGAAUCUGCUAGAUGGCAGAUAUUAUGAAGACAUUUGAUUUUGCUUUCACUUUAUAUUUAAUGAAGAACAUAUUUUCUAUAAGAAUUGAACUCAACCUAGAAAUUUAAAAUAAUAAUUAUAAUUAAUAAGAAACAACAUAUAGGAAGUUUUAUUUGGUAAAAUCAUAAUAUUUUGCUAAUUUUAUGAUGUUAAAAUUUCAGGUAUGAGUGAGACUUGUAUUCUUAAGAGGAGAUCAAUAUAUGAAACUUUAACUAUUAUUAGUUUUAUUUUGCAAAGUAAUUUCAAUCUAUGGUAUUUUAGAUAUGUAAGUUUCAAGAGUUCAAUGGCUGUUUCAUAUAUAGACAAUCACCAGGGGCCGUUUGUUUCAAUAUACCUUUUUUUUUGUAAUGUCGUACCAUAUCGUCCUUUGUUUAGUUUUGAUAAGCAUAGGUUGCUUAGGUUUACUCAACUUUACCCAUAUGAAUUUCUCCACAAUUAGUGUUUUUUUUUUUUGGUAUUUUCAGCUUUGUUUGGAAAGUGGAAAAUCCUCGCAAGUGGUUUGGUGCCUUUUGUUCCCUUGCAUUUUGGUAAAUACAUUUCUUGCCAUUCUUUUUAAAUUUAUUUUUUUUGCACCACGAACAUAUAUCCUAGUCAGUAUUUUUUUUUGUAAAUUUCAGCUUUGGUCCGAAAAUAGAAAAGGUUUUGCAGUCAAAUUUCUGUUCAUUCCAGGUUAGUUUACCUUUGAUUUGUAUCAUUAAUUUGCUGAAAUUUUUGUUAAUAUUAUAUGGGCUGAUAUUUUAAAUAUUUUAAUAUUAGUGUCAUGUGCCUAUAUGUUUGGCUAUUCACUCUUAUGGUAAGUUUUUGCUUAUGCUUCUUAAGAAGAUAUAGCCGCGCUUUUCUGCUUUUAUGUGGUAUUUUAAGGCAUCGAAAUAUUAAUAAAGUAUAUUUUAAAAAAAUUCUUAUUGGCCAAAAAAUUAGUGAUUUUUCCCCCCAAUUUAUGCUUGCCCUUCCGAUUUACCUUCUAUGUACACUAUCUCAUUUCCCAACUGUCGCGCCCCACUUUUUGAAUGUGAUGAGUGUGGUGUGAACGUGCGCAAAAUGAAAAUAAAGGGCCAUGGGACUUAAGAAUGCGACGAUUUGGCCAAAUAAAGUUCAAAAAAGGGUUUUUUAAUAAAAAUGGAGUCGCCACUUGGUAUAGAGUUAGGGUGUACCAAGUCACCCAAAAAUGAUUUUUGUUUUUGAAUGAAAAAAGUAAAUAAACCCUUUUAGAGAACUUUUGGGUCUACGUAACCAAAAAAGAGGGAUCGGGGAUCACAUUUGACGAAGGGGAAGGCAAUGAUAAAGAUCCAAGGCACCCCUUCGACCUAGCCAAGGCUAGUUGCGUGAUUUAGCCCUACCUUUUCUAAUUUUCCUACCCAAGGUAUGUAUCACAUGUUGGAUAUGACUAUAUGAAUGCAAAAACCUAGACCUAUGGGGACAUGGGGGAAAUUUCUCUUCAAAGGUUGAGUGGUGCCAAUCACAUUAAUUUGUGAAGCCCAAUAAUGAUCCUUUGGAGAGGUCACACGUAAUCCUAAAUGACGUAAAAAUGAGUGGAAUGCAUGCCAUGUGAAAGUGUGAGUUUGUGUGAAGUGAGAAAAAUGGUAAAAGUAAUAAGAUAUAAGUGGGGGUGUGCAAAUGUCUUUUCAAGGUAACGUAAGUAAAGAAUAAUAAGGUGAAAAAUGCCAUAAGGUGCAUGUGUGCGAGUGGUAUGGUAUAGAUGGUAGUGUGCAAAUGGGUGUAAUUUGUGAGGUAGAAAAAUAAAUAAGUGAUAGGAGAAGUGCGUGAACAUAGCAUGUGAAGUGAGAAAAUCAUAAGUAGUGAAAAAUGUAGAUGAAAGAGUGAAAUGAUAAGAUGAGAUGCAUGAACCUAUUGGAGUGCAUCAAGUCGGGUACGGGAGAGCUAAGUCGUGACUCAAUUUUCCCUUUGAUAGAGGGAAUAUAAGCGUGCUAAGGCUUAGAAAAAGCCACACUCGUCUAUAUCCCAUAUUUAAGGGGACUCUUCAGGCAAAUGUACCCUAUCACUAGCAUGAGAUGCAAAAAUCCUAAAAUGAGGGGAAAAGGGGCUCGAGGAGCAUGCCAAAUGAUAAAACUAAGAAAAAUGCAUGACAUGUAGUGGACAUGCAAAUAUGCACUAACAAAAGGGGAUGGCCUAUUGGGUCUAGCGUUGGACUAGCCCUUUCUAUGAAUUCCUAAUGAAAUAAUGAGCCACAACUAGCAUUGGACUAGUGUGGUGACGUACAUUCAUCCAUCACAUUCAUUCAUGGCUAUGGAAAGCGAUUAGACAUGCCAAACACCUAUAAGCACAUAGCACAUAACAAUUAGCAUGUUCGACUAAAUGCAAGAACCUAAUAAAGCAAAUUAACACAUAGCAACAAAAACAAGCAAUCAAGCUAAUAAACCUAUUACAUUUGCUAGCUAGGCACAAUGUCUUCAAUAGGUCUUCAUCAAGUGCUCCCCAAGCCCUAUCUAUUACAAGCCAAGAGGUGUACACAUACCCCAUAAUGAAUAACUUAAAUUACAAGCCAAGAGGUGUACACAUACCCCAUAAUGAAUAACUUAAAUAAAAGUAAAGGUAAAUGAAAUAAAUGCAAAGACUUAAAGAAAGGCAAGGAAAGCAACGUAGACAUGCAAUUCACACUUAGCACGUUGGAUCACAUAGGAGAAAUGAAAAUCAAGGAGAUAGAGGUUACCUCCCUUGUAAUUGGGCACCAAUGAAGCGAAAUCACUUAUUUAUCUUCCAAAAUAAAAGAAAUGGUCAAGGCACCAAUUUAUUUGGAAAAAAUAAAGAAAAUAGGCAAACACAAGCUCACUUGGUCAUAAAGCCCCUAAAAUCAUGAAUUAAGUGCAAUUGAAACAAAGCAUGGUAGUCAAUUGAAGCAAGCAAGCAAUGAAAUUGUAGAAUUAAAAUUGCCAAGGACCAAAUUGAUGAAAUUAUUCAAUUGAUUGGGUCCUAGUAGAACAAGGGGAGACUUGAGGGAUCAAAGUGCAGUUUUCAGCAAUUGUUUCAUGCAAAACUCAUGCAAGCUACGUAGACAAGAAAACUUCUGCAAUUUACUUUCUAUUCCAACUUCUAUCAACCGAGAAAGAAAACUGCUGCACUUCUCAUUUCCAUUUCCAAGCUUUGAUCAAAACAUUUCAUCUAAGCAUAAUCAUUUCAUCAUUUGCAAGAUUAAGGCAGCUAUUCUUAUUGCAGGAUUAAAACAAGAAGUGAAGCUGGCCAUCAAGGGUGAAAAACUAAACAGCAAGACAGCAAUAAAAGGAAAACAUGUCGCAGAUUUUCUGCAACAGAAAAUUCGGCAGCUUGCCAAACGUUCUUCAACCAAGAAGACAUCAUCCCAUGCUCCACUCUUAUGCGCAAAAAACAUUAGCUAAACACACAAUUCCGUUGCACAUAUGAAGUUGGAGCUGACCAUCAAGAAAGUAAAAAAACUAAACAGCAAAGAAGAAAGAGUGCAGCAAAGUUUUUCUGCGAUCAGCUUCCUAAACUUCAAAGCUUCGGCAACCGAGAAUGAAUCAGGAUUUUUCAAUCAAGCAUCAAAAACUUUGGAUUAAACAACAGCUACCUAAAACCGCAAGCCCAAACAAGAAAAAACACUUAAGAUAGCCAUCAUGCAAAUCUGGAAAAUCAGAAGAUUUGCUGCAAUUUUCAGCCACGACUUGUCCAGAAUUUCCAGUUUAUCAUGCCAACAGAAAUAGAAUUAUGAAGCCUGUGGGUUUAUCCAUCGAACCCCCCCCUUUUACAGUCAGAUCAAAUCAAGAGAAACACAAGCUUCAGUGGUUCUAAGCUAACCCAAUCCAGAUUCACGCACCAAAGGAAACCCAGAGGCACGAUCAUGAACUUCUGGUAAUACCUAGGCUGAUGAUGCAAACUACCCUUCACAUAUUUAAACCGCAAAGCACAGAGCUUUAUUUAGUCAAACACACAACAAACGCAAUCCCAGGCAUAUACUUCAUCUUAAAAGAACAGAACAACGCAAAACCUUGUCUGACUUCAACUUUAGUAAACCAGAUUUUUGAAAACAAACCCACCAGACAAUCGAUAGCAAAAAUGCAGUCAGGGUGGACGUACAAAACUGGCUUUGCGACCCAAACCUUAAAACGAACAGAGAAGAGAUUGAAGAUUACCUAUUUCGCUGCUCCCGGAGUUAAAUCACCGUGGGUAGUCCCGGAUUGGCCGAACCCGAACUGCGAACUUUGACAAAGGGCCGUGGAGCUUCGAGCUUUAGGCUUCAUCUCUUUACGGUUUCCUUCGAUGGGUUUCUCUUCCUCCACUCUUUUGGUUCUUUCUCAGCCGCCAACCACCUGAUGCUAUUCUCCAGCUCUUGCUCUCGGUUUCUUCCCCUCCCCCAGCUCUCUUUUCUCUCUGGUUUUUUCUUUCUCUUUGUCGUCCCUCUCUUCACUCCCGUAACCUCUUUCUCUCUCUCCCAACCUAGCCUUUUGCACCGCUCUCUGCUUUUCUCUUCCCGUCAGCUUUUUGGUUUUCUCUUCUCUUCCCAAAUUUCUGCAGCCGUCCCUCGAUCUCCCUUUGCGGCUACUGCCUCUCUUUUCUUUUAUAUGGGAUCCCUAGCCCUAAAGCCCAGUCCUUUCUCUCCUAUAUUUGCAGCUAAGGGACUGCCCAGGUCCUCUCUUGCAAGCUGCGAAAAUACGCAGCUUGCUGUCGCGUGUUCCCCUUCUUUUUUUUUUUUUUUUUUGUAAAGAGUAAUUUAACACAAAUGAUAAUAAACAUAAAUAACAAAAAUAAUUUAAUUAACAUUGGGCAAAAUAAAUAAACUAGAAGCAACAAAGUGCAACUUCCAUUUUCCUUUUUUCAUUUUUCAUUUUUCAUUGUUUUUCUUCUUUUUUUUUUCCUUUUCAAAAUAACUUAACAAAAAUAAGUAAGAUGCUAAAAGAUUGAUUUUAAAAGACAUAAAACAUAUUUUUUGGAACACUUUUCUUUUUCCUUUGAGAAAUUCUAGCUAAAAUGGCUAAAAUAACUAAAACUAAAAGUAAAUAAAACUAAAUGUGACAAUUAAAAAUAGAACAAAUAAAAACGAAUAGUAAAUAAAUAAAUAAAUAAUAAAACACCAAAAAUUUGGUGUCUACACCAACCAUGCAAUUCUUUUUUUUUUUCCAGAAAAAGAAGAGAAUCAAAGAGGGGAAAGCACUAUACAUCUCCCCUCCCCACCCCUAUUUGCCUUCUUGGCCAAAAACAUGAAGAAAAACUCACACUUUCGCAUCAAUUUUGAGCCAUAUGAUGAAUUUAUUGUUGAGUUUUUCUAGCCUUUUUUUUCCCAAAAUUGACCUCCUAGCAUAAAUGUUUGCUUUUUUAUUAUUGAUUGUUUUGUAAGUUUGAAAGAAUUAAGAAGAAGCAUAGCAAAGUAAACAUCUAGUGUUUAAGGUGUGUGAUCAUCUCUUACAAUAGUAACUUGCUUUGUGUUUGAUGAUUUGCUUCUAAAGGUAGCUUUACCACUACACUGGUUUAGUUUUCUGAAAAUUUACGUGUCCCAUUGUUAUGGAGUAUUAGAUGAUUUGAGAGAUGUUCUUUAGCUUACUGUUUGGUCCUAAACAAAAAUGAUUUGACUUUUGCCUUUGUGUUUGUAUGCUGAAUGAUCCUUUAAUGUCUUGCACAGGCUCGAACUAUCUUUAAAUUUCAUUGGAAAUAAUACUUUGAUAGACCUAGAAACAUUAAUUUCAUCGAUUGUUUUUGACUUUUACUGCAUUGUCAUGUUAUUGACUAUCAUAGUUAGGACCAAAGACCAGUUAAAGAGUAUUUCCCCAGCUUCUACUGUCUUGGUUCUAAUUUUCCACAUGUUUUGGGGCUCAACAAGUAGAAUCUGCACUCAUGAUUUGUUUGAUAUAAUUUGGUUUCUGCUUAAAUUUUGGUUUUAGGAACUGGUCAUGCACUGAUUAAUUCCCGGCACAAAUAAGCACUUUUGAGUUCCAUACCUUGGUUCAUUGAAAGGAGAUUGUUCAAUGGACGGAUCCUAACUUGGGGGUACAGAGACUUUUAACAUACCUCAGUCUUCAAUUGUUUUGCAGCUUCCUUGUUAUAUUAGUUUCUCUGGUUUUGCACAUGGACAUGGACAUUGCUUUAAUUACCCUACUGCCAUAAUAGUUCGCACAUGGACAUGGUUUUUCAACAUGAUGACAAUUAAGAUCUUCCUUGUUCUAUUAAUUUUAAAAUUGAGAGUUAUAGGGAAUUUUUCAAUUUUUUUUAACACAACAAAUUCACAUUGGCACAGCUAGAAAAUUUCCAGUAAUCAACUGUAAGUGACUGGCUUCUAGCAUCCUUACAAUAGGUAUUAAAAAAAAAGCCAUAUUUUUUAGCCAUUUAAUGUGCUAGUAACCUCCAAAGGGUCACCAGCAUGUAACUUUAGAAAAAUUUUGUAUCCUCCCUUGUUAUUUGCGUUGGGGAACAAAUGACAAGUCUAUGUAACAUUGGUAUAAAAUGUAUUUUAAUAAAAAGGUUCAAUUAAAUGUGCAAUUAGGUUGAAAAGAACCAUAAGCUGAGUUAGAAAGGUAAAUUUCUUAUGUACAAGGGGCUGAAAUUAUAUUUAAAAAAGUAGAAAAUCGUCAAGAGAUCAAAUUACUUGCUGAAAAAGAUAAUAAAGUCAAAAUACAUAAUUUUCGUUGUCAAACCCUACAUUCCUAAUCCCUCGUUCAGGUGGCUGCCAAACAGAGCACCUCUUCAGCUCUUCUUCUCUUAUUAACUAAAACAAAGCCACUCUUCCUCUUCCUCUUAGAUUAGAUGCCAUCGUUACAAAAUCUCCUCCUCUGCCAUUGAAAGAGAAUCAACAGCCGGUACUUAUUAAGCGAAAAGACAGCAGGUAUGGUGAGUGUUUUUCUUUUCAAAUGUCUAGCAGCCUUCUUCUUCUUUCUUUCUCAUCCGUAGAGCCACCCUGCUGAUAGUUCUAAUCUUGUAAUUCAUUUUUCAGCCUUGGUUUGAAUUUUUAGGCGUUUGGUUGUUCUUUUUUUACUUUAAAAUUGCUUGUAAUUUUCUAUUAAAUUGCUUUUUUUUUUGGGUUUUGGAGUGGCUGUAAUUGGACAUAUUUCAUAGUGAACUUUGGCAUUUUUAAGGUUUGAACGAUCAGGUCGUAAAGAUAGUGAUGAAGUUGAUGAUAAUUGUAUACUGGUACUUUGUGUUGAUAAUGAAGAAAGUUGGAUGUUAGGAUUCUUGGCCUUAUACCCGAGUUGGAAAUUCGAUGAUGAAGAUUUUUAAGCCUUGUUCCAAGUUUAAAAACAUUGUUUACAACUACUGUCUAUCGGAAUUUAGUAAUUUGUUUUCUAGGAAGAAAUGAUGGUGGAGGAGAAACGAGAAGUAGAAGAAGAGGAGGUAAAGGUGGUGGAGGAGGAGGAGGAGGAGGAAAGAAUUCAGAGCUUCAAAGAAUUGGGAGUGUGCUCAGAGCUGGUGGAGGCGUGCGACAAUUUGGGAUGGAAAGCACCCACAAGGAUUCAGAUGGAGGCCAUUCCCCACGCCAUUCAAGGGAGCGACAUCAUUGGACUUGCCCAAACUGGUUCGGGUAAAACCGCUGCCUUUGCUCUGCCAAUUCUCCAAGCUCUUCUUCAAGCUCCCCAACCUUUCUUUGCCUGUGUCCUUUCUCCCACACGGUUUCUAUUUCUUCCCUUUUCCUUUAUCUUAUUUAUCUAUUCACUUAUGUAAUUCUUCUGCACGGUACGAUUUUUUUCUAAAAUUUAUAUUGUUUUUGCUUACAGAGAGCUGGCUAUUCAAAUUUCUGAACAGUUUGAAGCUUUGGGAUCAGGGAUUGGAGUCAAGUGUGCUGUGGUCUGCCUUCUUUUUCUCUUUUCCAUUUUUUUCCCUUUGGGAAACUUUAACCUUAUAGAUCAAUUUCUUCAAACCAAAAUAGAAAUGUUAAUGCUUAUGAUUCCCCCCUGCCUUUUAUUUUUUUAAAAUUAUUUUGUACACUUCAAAAUUUUGUUUCUGUAACUGAAGAGAUUACUGUUGCUUAUGUAGUAGAUUAACUUGUGGUGUACAAUUAUUUUCCAGCUUGUUGGAGGAGUUGCCCAAACUGACCAGAGCAUUGCCCUUGCUAAGCGCCCCCAUAUUGUUGUCAGUUUCAUUCUUCCUCCUUUUUUUCCCUCCUUUUUCAGCUUUUCUAUUUUCUUCUUCAUUUUAGGAGUUUCUCUUUACUGCUUCAUUUCCAAAGCCACAUCCAUUUUCUUUGCUGCUUAUACUUAUCUUUUCCAUCUUUCCUCAAUUUUAGGUGGCAACCCCUGGUCGCCUCAUUGAUCAUCUUUCGAAUACUAAAGGUUUUACGCUGCGUAUGUUGAAGUACUUGGUAAGUUUCCUUCAUAUGUGGAAAACAUUUGGAGUUGUGUUUUGAUAAUUUUUUUCUCUAUGUUAGGUAUAUGCUUGUAAAACCCCUGCGUGCAUGCCUUAGGACUUGAAAAAAGUUUGUUGUUAUUUUGGACUGAUGGGUCAUUUGCUUCCAAGAUAGCUGUGUAUACAAGUUUGCAUACUUUGAACAUGUGUGACUCUCUCUCUUUCUCCUGAUUUGAUCCCAAUUUCUGCCAAAAAUGCAAAAGAUCAGGCUCUGUAUGAUGUGAAAUACUUGUUGCUCUGGAUAUGAUGGUUCCUCAUCUUUCUUAAAAGGACAUUAAUCCUGUGUUUUAAUGGCAGGUAUUGGAUGAAGCAGACAGGUUGCUGAAUGAGGAUUUUGAGAAAUCACUAGAUGAGAUAUUGAAUGUUAUUCCUCGUGAAAGGAAGACAUAUUUGUUUUCUGCUACCAUGACAAAGAAGGUAUAUGGUCAAUUAAUUAUUUUGUUUUGCUUGUGCAGAACUAUAUUAGCUGAUCUUUUCUGUGUCGUGUAGCUGUGAGCUGAGCUCAAUAUUAAGAGAAAUCACUGGCAAACAAGUGCAAGUGUUAUGUUGUUCUGUAAAAAGUACCAUGGUACUGAAAAAACUGUGAUUCUUGUUUUACAGGUCAAGAAGCUCCAGAGGGCAUGUCUGAGGAAUCCUGUGAAGGUAGUAUGGUUGUUACCCCACUAUUCUGGAUGUUCUUUGGGAGUGGAUGAUCUGACUUUGUUUGCAUUUUCUUUCAGAUAGAAGCUGCAUCUAAGUAUUCCACAGUGGAUACGCUUAAGCAACAGUAUCGCUUUGUUCCUGCAAAGUAUAAGGUAUGCCUUUUCUGCAGUGUCACAUUUCUGUUAGUUGAUUGAGCAUAUGCUUGUGUGCUUGCAUUGUUUCUGCAUGCCAUAAUAUGUGUUUCCACUCUGUUACUGAAAUUCUUUUGGGCAAAUAUGCUAAAUCACUCAUUGUUCUUUUCUUUCUUUCUUCUGAAAUCAAAUUACUUGCCGUGCAGGAAUGCUAUCUUGUUUAUAUUCUAACUGAGAUGUCUGGAAGCACAUCGAUGGUGUUUACACGUACAUGUGAUGCAACUGGUCUUUUGGCUUUGAUGCUGAGGAACCUGGGCUUAAGGGCCAUCCCUAUUAGUGGCCAUAUGACCCAGGUAUGGCCACUAAGUGUGUUGAGAAUUUGUCAUAGUGAAGUUCGUUUUCAACUGCAUAUGUUUCUGGUUAAUCGUUUAUUGCUUCUCUAUUUAGCGUGCUCUCAGGUUUUGAUUUCUCUGGACAGGCAAAAAGACUCGGAGCCUUGAACAAGUUUAAGGGUGGAGAAUGUAAUAUCCUCAUUUGUACUGAUGUUGCUAGUAGAGGGCUAGAUAUUCCAUCUGUUGAUAUGGUUAUUAAUUAUGAUAUCCCCACAAACUCAAAGGUCAGUUUCUUUCCUUGUUUUUCAAGUUGGCAUUCUAAAUUCAUGUUUCCCAUACUCUAAAAUUUUUUAAGUUCUUGAUAACUGCUUCAGUCAAGAUUUAACUUUGACUACCUCUGUUUUGUCUGCCGUUGCAGCAUUGUUGUCUCUUCUCAAGGAAUUAUCUUUGCCCUUUCUCUAUCUUGUGCUGUUCUGGAUGCUGACUGCUUGCCACGUGCCUUUGCUUCUAAAUUGCAUUUUAUGUUUCAGUAUCAUGUUAAGUUAUGGAAGAAAUGUUCUGUGCUCUUUUCCCUCUUAUUUACUAUUAUUUUGACUAGGCCUUUACACCUUAUUGGGCUUUGCCUUCCUAUCAUCUUUGACGGUGCUGUUUUUUCCUGUUCUAAUGGCAUUUGUCGUAAUUCAUGGACGACUAAGUUGUGCUUUGUCAAAAAUGGGCAGCUUGACCUAAGGGCAUGGGGAAGUUAGGAGAGGGUGUCAGGAUGUGGGUUUGUGUCUGAUUCCUUGCGGUUACUGGAUUGUGUUUUGUUGUAUCUAUGAAACAGACAUCUUUGUGAUUUAUUAUCUGUAAAAAGUUUUGCUUACUUAUAUAAUGUGCUAUACCUUAUUGAAUGAAUGCUCUCCAGGACUAUAUACAUCGGGUUGGAAGAACUGCUCGUGCAGGACGAUCAGGUGUUGCCAUUUCAUUAGUCAAUCAGUAUGAGUUGGAGUGGUAUAUACAAAUAGAGAAGCUCAUUGGUAUGAACACAUCCUGUACUCUAUGAGCGUUUUGUAGAUGUGAUGUAAUCUUUGUUCUUCGGAUUUACAUUUUUAUGUCUCAGGGAAGAAGUUACCCGAAUUCCCAGCUCAAGAAGAAGAAGUCUUGCUUCUGUUGGAGCGGGUCACGGAGGCUAAAAGAAUCUCUCAAAUGGUACAAAGUUGUAUUUUUGGUUUUAAACAUCUUUGCAAUAACUGAUUUGGGUUGCCUUGCACCUAGCUGCUACUCUCUCUCCCUCUUCCUUCCUCUCCCUCUCCAUCAUGAUGGCAUUUGCUUCGGUCCUUGGCGCCCCCUUCCUCCCUCUCACAAAUUAGCAUUCUGCCCUUAGAAACGUGCACUAGUUGACUAUUUCUAUGAUUUAUCUUUGACAGAAACUCAAAGAAACUGGUGGGAAGAAGAAACGAAGGGGAGGAGAUGACGUCGACGAAGAUGUUGAUAGAUAUUUAGGUUUGAAGAAUGGGAAAGCAAAAAAGUUUAAAAAUCGAUGAUGAUAGAAUGAAUGCAGCAGUAGCUUACAGGGUUUUCAGAUAUUAGCAAUCGGAAAUAUGAAAAGCUUAGGAAGAGAUCAUGAAGGGGGACGAUUUGAAAAUGUAAAAUCAUUUAAGAAGCCUGAGUAAAGAUCCCUACCAAUUUUGUUCCAUUUUAAUCCUAGAUGGGGUACGAUAGAAUUUUAUUUCUUUUUGCUUUUUAAAUAUAAUUGUAUUGUUGCCUAAAGGUUUCUAUAUUAUUGUUUAGAAACUGAUUAUGAAGUGAAAAAUUGUGCAUUUAUGGGCUAUACUGGGCAAAAAAUGUCUGCUGUAGUUUGGUAUGAUCACUUAACAUCACCAACCUUGGCUUGAUGCUUGUGUUGAAGUAAUCGCUGUGUGUGAUAGGAUGGUACCCAAGGCGGAGCGACGCUCGACCCCUUCCAAAAUGGAUACAAGUUGAAACUGGUUAAAGAUGUAUGCUGCAUCUGACGGAUCAUUUAUUUUCCAUAUUAAGAUGCUAAUGUUGCCGUUUUGCUAUUACGAAUCAGAUGAGACUAAAAUAUCAUGUUUAUGAAUGAGAAAUAGCAAUACAAUGACGUUAUUAAUCAGAUGAGUCUAAAAUAUCUUGUUUAUGAAUGAAAAAUAGUAAUAUAAUAAGAAAUGGUAUACAGAGUGGCACAGGAAAUGAAACAAAAGAUUCGUUGAGUUAAGCUCUAUCUUCUUAUCAGUCAUUUUAUUACUGAUCCUAUUCAUUGAAUGAAGUGCUCUCAAGAGGAGUGAAAAAUCAUAGCUCCUAGGCAUGAGGGAGUGCUCAAAAUUGUGAAGAGCUUUCAGGUCUCACUCCGUGGAAGAGAUCAAAGAGUACUUGGAAACUCUGAACUUGGAGAAAUAUAUGAAUAUAUGUAUCAAAUGUGGUAAGAAAAUCACUGUAAAUCUGUAAGACCAUUACUUUGUGCAUUUGCUGAUGUUACUAUUAAUUGAUCAAUCGUCAAGCUUAAGCUCCUGGAAUCAUUAUCAUGGAGAUUGAUUGUCUAUUAUUGAUUCAUUUUACAUUUUGCUUUCUUUAAGAGAUGUAAGAACCUGAUAUUUGACUAAUUGGCAAAACUCUGAAUCGAACUUUCUGCAGUUCUGCUCAACCUAGGACAACAAACUUGUGAAGCAGUAUCACUUAGAAAGAUGCUGAAGGCCUCUUGAUUGGUUCUCUUUCUUCCUAGUCAGAGGGAGGUUUCACAAAUGAAAAAGGAUGUUACUACUAUGAUAAAAAUUAAAUAAAUCCUAAAUUAAGACAAAUUGACUUUGCUUGCACAUUGCCAACAAGAUCCCUGCAUGUUUUUCAAGUGAAGAUAAGGCACAUGAAGCCAUGAAAACCAAUUUGAAUCUGCACUAAAUCGAAUAACCCUGCCUUGUUUAGGCAUUUGAAACAAAUUUCCCUACACUGAUGAAAGUAAAUCCUUAAAAAUCAAAUCAUCUGCUGGAGAAAGUAGUUCACAAAUGGGGGUUAGUGGUGGAUUAAUUCCACAUUUUCGUCUAAUGCAGAUCAGCAACAGAAGACCAUAUACGUUCCAAGUCCCUUGUAAAAUCUUUUUCUCUACCUAAAACUACACUGCCGUGGUUGGCAUUGGCAAUCUUGUCAAUCUCUGCUUCUUGAACUUGCUUUUGAAUGUUGAUGCUGCAUUCAAUUGGGACUACUUGAUCUCGAGUGCCUUGGAUAACAUUGAUUUUCACUUUGGCCAUUCUCAAAGUCUCCAAGUACUUAUCAGCUAAUUUAGCCCCUCCACAUAUGACAUUAUGCAUUGUGUGCCAAGCAGAAUGAUGAGUAUGCCGAGUCAAGUCUAUAAACGUAAAAUGUAGAUUCCUGAAGCAGAAAGAGGUACAAUUCAGUUCUACUUCGAAAAUUUUCAAGGAUUGUUGAAAUGCAUCCACACAAAAAAAAUAAAUAAAUAAAAUAAAAUCAAGAUUGAUGCUUAUUGUAUAAUUUACCUUCUCCUGGUGAUGAAUUUCAAGAGUGAUUCCCACAUUUUAUGAUUUCGGCAAAUAAUGAAGCACACACAUCUGCCUAAGUGUUCAUACCAAGACAUAAAUGAUGAACCAAAUAAAAGAGGUGGCCACAGUCUUUUCGCUGCAAGUCUUUCAAGUGCUACCAUACUAGCAUCCUCUCUCAAAGAAGAGAAGUAAGGCUGAAAUAGCAUGAGAUCACAUUGUCAUAUAGACACAACAGAAAUGAAAAACAAGAAGGAAAAAUAACAGAAUUGUAUCGUAAAUGGAUUCUGGGACAAAAUUCGAUCAUCCCAUGAUGCUUCUCACUUUAUAGCUUCAAACAGCAUUUUACUGUUUAACAUAUCGUGCACUCACCGGUGCUAUGAGGGUUAUUGAUUUCACAGAUUUAGAAUGUUUUGCAGCUAAUGCCAAAGCAAUGAUACACCCCAUGGAGUGUGCAACUAGAUGAAAUGAAUUCAGCUGAUAUGGACCGAUCACUGAGUACUCAAUCAUUUCUAGGUGAUCCUUGAGGGUGUAUAAACAGUCCCUUGGUUUUGGACUUCUCCCAAAUCCCAAUAGAUCUACAGAAAACAAUCUGCAAUUUUGCUUUGCAGAUUCAGAUAAAUUAGGAAAUACAGUUUCUGUCCAGAAUGAGGAGGAUGAGAGAAAACCAUGCAAAAAUAUCACAUUUUCGGCUUCCCUUUCUUUGCUGUCCACCCAGCUAGCUGCCAAACACACAAUGUCUGUCAUUACCAAGUCUUACACAAAAAAGUCAGUUGAGCUUUUGGAAUGCUGAUGCAACAUGUUUUUAGUGAUGCAGCAAAUCUUGUACCGAAAAUAUUCAAAUGCAAGUUCCUUAUCUAACAUGUGAAAAUUCUUCUUUAAUGGUUUGCUCCCAAAAAGCAUAGCUUUUGAUUCUUCCAGGCAAGGUAGUGAGAGAAUAAUGCUAGUGGAAAUAAGAAAUACAGAUAGAAGAAACAUUUAUGUCGAUUUAUCAUAGACAUCUACAUGGAUUAUGUCUAUUUUGCCAACCGAUAUGAAUGUUUCUUCGAGUAUUAUUAAUUGAAAUGGCCAGAACAACCAUCAAAUUUGGACUUUUGAUUAAAAAAUGUGACUGGAAAGUUUUCAAAACAGAAAAAUUAAUCAUCAAUUUUGAAUUUUACUGCUUUAAGCAUUUGAGAUAAUGUCUUUUCUGCUUAGGCCUCAGUCCAAUAAUUUCAGUAGCUUCUUUGAGUGCCCUUGUUAUUGUCAGAGUUUUCUUAGAAAAUACCCUAAUACAAUGCCAAUUUAAUGAUUGAACAUCUUUAAAUUGUUUAUAUCAUCCACAAGUUAUGCUGCUGAAAUUGUUGUUUGGUAAAGUAUAAAGAAAGCAGCUUUGUCUGUGCAGGCAUACACUGUUGAAAUCAUCUUUAGGGGCCCAAUCUACGUAAUAGAAUUGCUUGAAAUACAAAGAACAGGGUAAGCAGGGAAACUAGUUGCUGCAAUACUUCGAGAGAUUGACUUGUCAAUAAGGUUCAAGAAACUGAAUUAUCAGUAGUGUUACUAGAUGUUGAGGCACACCUAACAAAGCCAAAAAAUUCCACUAGUUAUAAUGGUCCAAAAAGGCAAGAACAAUCCUUGCUAAAUCCCAAUUCUUCUGUUGGAUAUACUCUUCCUAAAAGUAUUAUGCCACUUCUAAUUUAAUCCAGCAAGGGCUCCUUAUCUAGCUGACAAAAUACAAAGGGCAGGUUAACCAGGGGAGCUAGUUGCUGCAUUACCUUCAGAGAUGGAGUAGUCGCUAAGGUUCCAGAAACUGGAGAAUCAUUGGAACUGGAUACUCAGCCACACCUAACAAAGGCAGAAAUAUCCACUCAUCAUAAUGGUCCCAAAACUAUCCUAAAAUUGUUCUGUUGGACAUACUCUUUCUAAAAGUGUUAUGGGCAUUUUUAUCUUAUCCGGCUGCAGCUCCUUAUCUAGCCACAAAACACAAAGGACAAGAAAAGAUUCCACAUUACAUUAGCUCACAGCCUCACACUAUUCCAAGAGUCUGCCUGCAGUUUGUCAUUUUAUAAGCUAUUAGCAUCAUUUACUGCAUUUUGUAAAGCCAAUUGAACUCUAAAGAGAAAGAAGUUUUUGAAUGAAACUGUUUGGUUGAGUUCAAGAUUAUUAUAUUCUAGAAGAAAAAAAUUUAUAAUAUUGGCAAAUUUAAUCUCUACGUACAUUAAUGUGAUUACAUAUUAAUCUCUCUUGCUGCAAAUUUUACAUGCAAAACUGUGACAGCUGAUCCAUAAAAUUCCAUCCAAAAGGGCUACAGGGACCAAAUAUCUACCAUCCUCAGGACUGAAAUGACACAAAAUUAGCAAUCUCAUUUACCACUUCUAGUUCUAAAGCAGAAAAACUAGAACGAGACGAGGGAGUUCACAUUCGAUACUAAAACUCCAAAAAUGAAAUGGAUUGCAAAUGCAAAUUCAGCAAAAUCCCAUGGUUUACAAUUUUGCAUUAGAAAUUGGAUAACUUUUCUUUACACUCUCGAUAUAUAAUUUCCUUUACUUCAACAAAUUUAUAUUAUACCACAUAAUAUGAAUUCAAAUUUGAAAUUUAAAUUAUGCACAUGUGACAUAUAUCUGUAGUUACUAGUGUAAAAAAAUCACUAUACUGGUAAUGCACAAAAAGUUAAUCCUUAGAAAUUAAUGUGAAAUUUUUGUAGUAUAAAGGUCAAACAUUCGCGACUAGAAUUAGAACUAUUUAAAACAUGAGGGACUAAAUCUAUAAUAUCACAAAUGCAACACAUACAGUUUUACCUCUUUCUGUCUGUGGUUCUUGGACCACAACGUGAAGCUUUGGAUCAUCAGCAUUUUUCAUCCACUCAACACAAGAAUCACACCCACAAUCAGACCACCUGGUGCCAUUCCUCAUCUGCAAGAAUGAUUCACCAUUUCUCCAUCCUUUUGGAACCAAAGAAAUCCCAAGUGACCCCAAUAAGCCCCUAAAGAAAUUUCUCCUUCGAUGAAGCGUUUCAGACAGCUCACUCUCUCCAUCAACUUCUACUUGCGCAACAUGAUGACAAUCACCUGUCUUCUCCUUUUCCUCCAUUAAUUCCAUGCAGUAACAUGAAGAAUAGGCUUUUCCUUCCAGGAAUUCAUCCAACAAUCUAUAGAAAAUGCACAUGAAAACUUCAAGAAAAUCCAGGAACAAAAAUACCAUCCAACUUAUUGCUGCUAUAAUGAUUUCUAGACCCUUUUGAAUCCAUUUUCCAGAUUGAACUAGGGUGGCCAUUCUCCUCCUCUCACUGCGUGUGAGUGCGUGUGAUAAAAGGGAGGGAAGGGGUUGAGGUUUUUGGCUUUUUGGGAGAAGGAGGGAGAGUUGGCGUACGGUCAGAGGAAAAGUAGGCGUUGAACUCCUGGAAUCAGGAAAGCAGAUUCAUGUUAGACCACGUUGCAAUGCUUAAUACUGUGAAUUUUUGGUUGGUGUCAAAAUUUACAACAUAAAUUAGAAAAAAAGAUAAAAGAGCCGUUAUGUUUGUCCUUUUUCCUUUUUCUUUUCCUUUGUGUAUCUGUUUAAAUGUUAUACAGGUGAGAUUAAAUGUUUUUGCCAACACAAGGAAAGAGUGUUCCAAAUGUCCUUUUCUAAUCUUGACAAUCAAGAAAUCAUCUUUGAAGGGAAAAAAUAAGCAUAAAUUUGUGCUGCCUUUUGAAGUAAAGGUUUACUACUGAAAUUUCAAGAAAAUACUGCAUCGUACUGGUCAUUGUAUAACUGUUUCUCUCAUCCAACUUUAUGUGGUAUAGUCUUAUACUCCAUAAACACACUAUCAUGCAUGACAAAGUAGAUAGUUGUCUUUUCCUACCAUAAUAAUUAGUUGAAUUAGAUGCUAAAGUUUAGGAAAUAGCGACAAAUAUCGAUGCAACGGUUCUCAGCACUGGAACAUACGAGUGAAUUUAGAAUAUGGAUCCCAUCUUGUUUAGCUAUAUUCAUUAAUGAAGAGAUAAAUGAAUUUCCUCUCAACCGGGUCUUUAUCAGGUGUAUGUAGUUGGAGUAGAAUAACUGGAUUGGGCAAUGUUAUUUAUAUUUGAAUUUUCAUGCAUUUCAGGUUUUAAAAUUUCUCAAUAAUGGAAUAUCCUUAAAACCAGAUUUUAGUUGGAAACAGACAUCUCAAAAAAUACCCAUAUUCGAUAACAUAAAUAAUGAAUUUCUGCUCGUCUCUUAAUUUAAGUCUGUAGAAUUCAAGCAACAUAAAGUCUUUGAAAAACAUCACUUAAAGUCCAAGAUUAAAGUCCGCACCCUCUAUAACCAGGCAGACAUCUUAUGAAAAAGGUCAUUGGACCAGCGAAGAGCCAAUUCUCUGGAAAUGUAUCUCUCAUGUAUAGUUAAAAAGAGAGAAAAUAGUGUAUCCUAUCUUAUCUUGUAUUAAUUUCCUCUUUAAUAAAAGAAAAAUGUUCGUCAUAACUUUCACAUAUAUUCUAAGUCUUAGAUCAACGUUACAACUGGAAGUACAUGCCAAUUCAAGAUUUCUAAUUUCUAAAUUCCACAUAUAUUUUGGUGUUUCCUGAGAGCAGCAACAAGCACAUAUGGGCAGAAAGGAAAACUAGCCAAUCCCAAAAGGCAAAAUUGGGUAACUAUCGGUAGAACUUGCAAUUUCCUCUUUUUGCAAGGAUCAAGCAAGCAAGCAUGCCAUAAUGAACAGGGUAAAUGCUUCAACUAAGGACGAACAGUGUGCUUAAUUUCGUUCAUUUAGUGUCAUUAUCCUUUUUUACAGGGUCCGAGCUCACAGUUGGAAGGUUUCUUCUAUAUUGAGGAGAUGUCAACCUCCUCUCUAAUGGUGUCUUCCUCUUGCUCACUACAAACCUGUUUACCCCUUUCCUCAUGGGCAUUAUUGAUGGAAAGUCUUCAUCAGGUAUCUGGCUCAGCUCAGAAAU